rnacentral:lncRNA from 1 species
AUGGGGUUGCCUCAGGGCAAGCCGCACCCGUGGGACAAUGACUGGGUGACAGGUUCGUUGGGGUCUCCUUGCCUGCCUUCCUUAGGGACCCAGCACUGCUGCCGUCGUGAUUCUCCUCCCAACCUCCGUGGGCUUCCUGGAGCCUCUUCAGCCUGGUGUAGGCUCCCCCUAACCCAGCCACUCAAGGUGCCAGGCAAAGACUCUGGAGACUCUGCCUGGACUGGACCCUGUCAGCAGAACCCUGAACAGAGGAUGGGCUCCACCCUGAAGACCUGAAGGAUUCCUUCAUUGAGUUUCCUGUGGAGGACCGGGAGGAAUUUCCCCAUCACUUCCCAGGAGGAGCUGUGUGUGGCCUUGAGACAGGUAAACAAAGAGAUCAGGAGCUCAGACUGGCCUCAGGAAGCUUUCCAUGGCCUUAUUUCUGUUUUCUUCCCUCUCCCUUCCUCCUUCCCCUUUAGUCAAUUUUAUUUGAUUUUUGGUUCCAAAUUGUCUUCCUGAACUCCUCCUCUGCCCAUUGGGAAGGACAGAAAAGCCAAUAAAACAUAGGCAAAAGCCUUGCA